UACGAAGGGGGCUAGCGUUGUUCGGAAUCACUGGGCGUAAAGCGCACGUAGGCGGAUCUUUUAAGUCAGGGGUGAAAUCCCGAGGCUCAACCUCGGAACUGCCUUUGAUACUGGGGAUCUCGAGUCCGGGAGAGGUGAGUGGAACUGCGAGUGUAGAGGUGAAAUUCGUAGAUAUUCGCAAGAACACCAGUGGCGAAGGCGGCUCACUGGCCCGGAACUGACGCUGAGGUGCGAAAGCGUGGGGAGCAACAGG
rnacentral:rRNA from 1 species